AUGGGAUAGAUAAUUGACAAGCAAACCUGCCCUCAACUUCAUUCCAUUAUGAUUUAAAAUUUCUCUGUAGACAUACUGCCCCACUUUAUUUAUCCCACCAGCAGAGGAGCAGGUUGGAAGCAGAUGGAAUUAGGAGACAAAAACAAGUGACAAUUUAGUUCUUGAUAAGGAUGUAGUGAGGGGUGUGUACCAUCUUUGUGUGUGUGUAGUUGACAAAAUAAAGGCUUCCUCCACUAAACCCUAAACUUAUCUCUUAUAUAUAAUGACUGUUGACAGUAUGAUGAGAUUUUUCCAAACGACUGGCAUAUGUAUGUACUGACCAAAAAAUUGAUAAUAGUACAUUGUAUUUAUUUUCUUACUGGUGCAUCAAAAGUCUCUUCACAAUUAAGCCCAUAGCUCCCCAGUCUCAUGAAUGGACUACACUUUUAUUUCACCAUUUCUGAGUUUAUGAAUAUGCCUAACAUGUAACUGUUAUAAAAUAGUAUGAGCUGAGAUGUAUGUAUCUUGGGUAUUUUUAUAGCAUAAAAUUUAAGUAGGACUGAUUGGUUGGUUGGUUUAAAGUUAUAAAUGCUAAUAGAAUUUUUUAGGAUCACACUUUAUGUUCUACACAGGAUCUGACUUUAUCUCUGUCUUCAACACAAAAUAAUAGUAUUUUUCACCCUUGCCAGUCUUUUAAGUAAAAGGAAAUUAUAAAUUAUCUUUUUGUUCUAAUUUACAUCUUUCAGCUUCCAGUGAGCUGGGCAUCUGUCAGUUGCUGCCCAUAAUGCUUAGCCUUGCUUUCAUUCCACUCUCUUCUUUUCACGCUGGUCUGUCAUUCUUUGUAUAGGGGUUUCAACUACGUAUUUGCUGCACAUGCUUCCCCCAGUGUGUCUCUGAGUUUGUCCAUGGUACAUAGCAGCUAGAACAAAAAGCAACCCAGAAAGAGAGCUUUAGAGGCUGAAAGGCCAAAGGUGAUUCUGAGGGAACUCAACUGAGUGACCAAACCUCAUCAAAGUCCUGUUGCCUCCCUUCUGUUCCCUACCUUUUCUUGUCACAAGGCCAUUGUAAGUCUCACUUCCCUCACAGUGGAUAACCCACUGCCACUUGGUCAGCUUUUAGGUUCCAAGCUACCCUGCAAAACCUGACUUCCAGUGGCCCCCUUAGGAAAGAGGAUCACUCAAAUUCCAUAGCUCCCAGUGUCCAGAGUUCUCAAUCAGAAACCAUGCCAUUGGAUUUGAUUAGGAAUGUUCUGUGGAUUAACUCCUCUGACCACUGUAACAACCAGUAUCUAGAGGGAGGGUAAGAUUCCUGUCAGACGAAGCAGUUCGGCCCCAGUGCAGACACUGAAGUCAUAGUAAAGACCUACUCUGAACAGUAGCCCCUCACAGGAUGAUGGUGAAGGGAAGUCUGAGGACCAGCCACUGGCAUCUGCUUGUGUGGUUUGAGUGGGUUUUUUUGCUGCUGAAACAUCACUAGGCUUUACAAUGUUUGGAUUUCAUGUCUAACUUCACCUCAAAUUAUAAAAAUACUUGUCUUAGAGUUUCCAUUGCUGUGAAUAUACACCAUGACCAAGGCAACUUUUAUAAGGAACAACGUUUAAUCAGGGCUGGUUAAUAGGGUCUGAGAUUCAAUCCAUUAUUGUCAUGACAGGCAGGUCUGGUGCUAGAGGGGCUUAGAGUUCUACAUCUUGUUCCGAAGGCAAACAGCAGAUUGGCUCCCAAGCAGCUAGAAGUGUCUCAGAGCUCAUACCUGAUAUGGCACACUUCUUCUAAAAAGACCACACCUCGUAAUAAUGCCACUCCUUGGGCCAAGUGUAUACAAAGCACCACAAUACUAAACCACAUUAUUUUUCUGAUGCCUCACUUUUAAUAUAUUAGACUUAAACAGUUUUAACUUUUCUGUGUAAUGAAGAAUGUGGCAGGAACAGACCUUUGGGCUUUCUUCCAUGUGGUUGCUCAGUGGUUUCACAGCUCCACCAUUCCAUUCUCAAGCACCAUCUUUAUGGUGUGAAUAAUUCCCACUUGUCUCUGGAUCUGUCUUGGGGUUUUCCCCGCUGUUCUGUCUCUAUUCAUGUUGUUUAGUCACUAUAUUUUUUAACCUACUUUCAAACCCAGUCAUUGAUUCCUGCGCCAUACUUUUUUAGAAUUUUCUUGGAUAAAAUCAUAAUUUUUUAAGUUUCAAAAUUCUAUUGUGAUUUUUGACUAAAUAUUAGAUUGAAUUUAUGAAACAAUGUAAAGGUGAAUGGGAGUUCACAUUUCUAGAUAGUUUUUAACAUUUUCUACAUUUGGAUUCUUUACUAUACUCCUUAAUGUCUGAUUUUCUUUCAAUGUUAUAAAUGAAAUUUCACUUUCAUACUGUAUCUUUCUUCCCUCCCUCUCCCCUCCCCUUCUCUGAUCUCGUUCUCUCUCUCUCUCUCUCUCUCUCUCUCUCUCUCUGACAAGGCUUUUUUGUGGCACUGGAUGACCUGAUACUUGCUCAGGGUAGCUUCAGAAUUGUGGUAGUCCUUCUGCCUCUGCCCCCCAAGUGCUAGGUUUACAGACAUAAGCACAUCUUUUUGUCUGACUGUAGGAAUAAAGUGUACACAGCUAUUAGACUGCCAAAACUCUUAUGGUCUACUGUUUCAAACAAGAUUUGGGGAACCAGUCUUGUAGCAAUGAGGCAGUAACUCAAUGCAGCUACUGCUGCUAGGAGCAUUUCAAAUGCUUGGUCUAUAGUUCUGAAAGUCACAAAACUCUAAAAACUGGAAGUACUUUUUUGACUCAUUUGGUGGCCAAAACUCAGCCUACUGCAAAGCCAAGUAUCACUUUCAUUUAUCACUUAAAACAGAUAUGUAAACACAACAAAAUAGGUACUAUUUGUAUAUCUCUCAAAGCCUGCUGAAGGCCACCUACUAUUCUGUCUUCCUAAAUAAAGAGUCCUUAAAC
rnacentral:lncRNA from 1 species